GACGAACGCUGGCGGCGUGCCUAAUACAUGCAAGUCGAACGCUUCUUUCCUCCCGAGUGCUUGCACUCAAUUGGAAAGAGGAGUGGCGGACGGGUGAGUAACACGUGGGUAACCUACCCAUCAGAGGGGGAUAACACUUGGAAACAGGUGCUAAUACCGCAUAACAGUUUAUGCCGCAUGGCAUAAGAGUGAAAGGCGCUUUCGGGUGUCGCUGAUGGAUGGACCCGCGGUGCAUUAGCUAGUUGGUGAGGUAACGGCUCACCAAGGCCACGAUGCAUAGCCGACCUGAGAGGGUGAUCGGCAACACUGGGACUGAGACACGGCCCAGACUCCUACGGGAGGCAGCAGUAGGGAAUCUUCGGCAAUGGACGAAAGUCUGACCGAGCAACGCCGCGUGAGUGAAGAAGGUUUUCGGAUCGUAAAACUCUGUUGUUAGAGAAGAACAAGGACGUUAGUAACUGAACGUCCCCUGACGGUAUCUAACCAGAAAGCCACGGCUAACUACGUGC
rnacentral:rRNA from 1 species